UGGGGAAUCUUCCGCAAUGGACGAAAGUCUGACGGAGCAACGCCGCGUGAGUGAUGACGGCCUUCGGGUUGUAAAGCUCUGUUAAUCGGGACGAAUGGUUCUUGUGCGAAUAGUGCGAGGAUUUGACGGUACCGGAAUAGAAAGCCACGGCUAACUACGUGCCAGCAGCCGCGGUAAUACGUAGGUGGCAAGCGUUGUCCGGAAUUAUUGGGCGUAAAGCGCGCGCAGGCGGAUUGGUAAGUCUGUCUUAAAAGUUCGGGGCUUAACCCCGUGAUGGGAUGGAAACUGCCAAUCUAGAGUAUCGGAGAGGAAAGUGGAAUUCCUAGUGUAGCGGUGAAAUGCGUAGAUAUUAGGAAGAACACCAGUGGCGAAGGCGACUUUCUGGACGAAAACUGACGCUGAGGCGCGAAAGCCAGGGGAGCGAACGGG
rnacentral:rRNA from 1 species